GUCCUUGUAGUGCAAUGGAUAGCACGUUGGACUUUUAAUCCGAAGGGCGUGGGUUCGAAUCCCACCUGAGAAG